UGGCCACGUACUUCAGCAUGGACAGCAAGCCGCUUGCCGACAGCAAGGGCGGCGCCACGCUCGGCCCGUGGGUGGCCGGC
rnacentral:tRNA from 1 species